rnacentral:rRNA from 1 species
CAGUCGCCGCGGUAAUACGUAGGGUGCGAGCGUUAAUCGGAAUUACUGGGCGUAAAGCGUGCGCAGGCGGCUUUGCAAGACAGAUGUGAAAUCCCCGGGCUCAACCUGGGAACUGCAUUUGUGACUGCAAGGCUAGAGUACGGUAGAGGGGGAUGGAAUUCCGCGUGUAGCAGUGAAAUGCGUAGAUAUGCGGAGGAACACCAAUGGCGAAGGCAAUCCCCUGGACCUGUACUGACGCUCAUGCACGAAAGCGUGGGGAGCAAACAGGAUUAGAUACCCCCGUAGUCCCUGUCUCUUAUAC